GGCUGGUUAGCUCAGUGGGUUGAGCACGGUGCUGACAAUAAUGACAACACCAAGGUUGCGGGUUCGAUUCCCACUCAGUCA
rfam:Apaloderma vittatum contig17590, whole genome shotgun sequence.